GUGAGCUGAGAUCACGCCAUUGCAUUCGAGCCUGGGUGACAGAGUGAGAGUCUGUCAGAAAAAAAAAAAAAAAAAAAAUUCUAUCAGAAAUUCCAUGUAGAAUUGUUUCUUUUUUUAAACACAGAGUUUGAACAACUGACUCUUCAUGGACACAACCUUCCUUCUCUUGUCUGUGUGAUAACAGUCAAAGGGCCUCUGAGGGAGUAUUACAGCCGCCUCAUCCACCAGAAGCAUUUCCAGCACAUCCAGGUCUGCAUCCCCUGGCUGGAGGGCCGAGGACUACCCCCGCUUCUAGGUGAGAGGCCAGCAGGAGGCUCAGGGAGGAGGCAGGGCCUUAAGCAGGGGGAACAGGUGUGGGCAUGAUGUACUUUUUCUGAAAAGGUGGCUCUGGAGGCCACUUGGGGACAGGACUUGGGCUCUGGCUUAACUCCUGGGAGGAGGCUACUUCCUGGUGUGCCAGCCCCUCCCUGCCAGGUGGCCCCAGAGGCCCUUUACCAAGGGGUUUGAGGAGGCCACGUCCUUUCAGCCUGCCACACCCUCCAUUCAGUCCUCUUCCUUCCUGCAGGAGGGCUGGGCCUGGGGUUGGGGCCACUGUUGCCCAGGUGUGGGAGGGCAGUGGCUUUGGGAGGUGGUCGGGGGUCGCUUGGCCUCUGUGUGUCCUACUGUCUUUGUCAGUGAGAUGGGACAGUGACAGCACACCCUCACAGGUGCUGGGGGCUGACAAAUGUCAGGUCUGAGGACAGUGGCUGGCCCACUACGGGGCCAGUUCCCCUUCUUUACAGUCACCCUGCUCGUCUUCCAUCGACUGGGUGCUCAGGACAGUGGUGUGGUGGAUCCGCCUGUACAGCCUGUGCUCCAGCGUCCUGCAGGCCACAGCUGUGUCCAGCCCUGACCCCAACUGCCCCUCCUGCCACCUCCAUUUUAUAGAUGAGGAAACCGAGGCCCAAGGGCUUAGGGAACCCUGCUCUGAAGCACAUAGUAGGGCUGCUGGGCUCAGACCCUCCCUCCCUGUGCUGAGCUACCCUCCUCCUGCCGCAAGCCCCCCACGCCCCAAGCCCACCCUGCUCACCGGCCUCUGCCCGAGUUCCCCUCAUGGUGUGGGAGUGUGGGGCAUCCUAGCUUUUCCCUGGUGCCCAGUUCUUUCACUUCCACUGGAGUCCUGCAGGGACAGCUCAGGGACAUGCAGGCCCGGGUGAGCGUGGGGGCUCACCUAGCUCGGUGGUGAACAGCUGGCACGUCUCUCGGUUGCGGACAGCGAAGGCCACAUAGACCUCAGGAGCCCGCUGGUGCUCCCGGCAGGCAGCCAGCCUCUGCAGGACCCCGACCAGCGACACAGUGGCUUCUGGGCAAUACAGCACGU